rnacentral:rRNA from 1 species
AGAGUUUGAUUCUGGCUCAGAACGAACGCUGGCAGCGUGGAUUAGGCAUGCAAGUCGAACGUGAAGCCGUUGAUCAAUCUUUCGAGAGAGUGAUUCGGUGGAAAGUGGUGAAAGGGUGAGUAACGCGUGGACAAUCUGCCUCUAAGUUGGGGACAACCCUUCGAAAGGAGGGCUAAUACCGAAUGUGGUUUUCCCGCGCAUGCGGGAGUGACUAAAGGUGGGGACCUUCGGGCCUGCCGCUUGGAGAGGAGUCCGCGUCCCAUCAGCUUGUUGGUGAGGUAACGGCUCACCAAGGCUUACGGGUAGCUGGUCUGAGAGGAUGGUCAGCCACACUGGGACUGAGACACUGCCCAGACUCCUACGGGAGGCUGCAGUCGAGGAUCAUUCGCAAUGCGCGAAAGCGUGACGAUGCGACGCUGCGUGGAGGAUGAAGGCCCUCGGGUCGUAAACUCCUGUCAUCCGGGAAAAACGGCCCUGUGUUUAAUAGGCGCGGGGUGUGAUGGUACCGGAAGAGGAAGCCACGGCUAACUCUGUGCCAGCAGCCGCGGUAAUACAGAGGUGGCGAGCGUUGUUCGGAUUUACUGGGCGUAAAGGGUGCGUAGGUGGUUUCGUGUGUCGGGUGUGAAAGCCCUGGGCUCAACCCAGGAAAUGCAUCCGAAACUGCGGAACUUGAGUACAGGAUGGGAGAGCGGAACUCUUGGUGUAGCGGUGAAAUGCGUUGAUAUCAAGAAGAACACCGGUGGCGAAGGCGGCUCUCUGGAAUGUUACUGACACUGAGGCACGAAAGCUGGGGGAGCGAACAGGAUUAGAUACCCUGGUAGUCCCAGCCGUAAACGGUGCGCACUUGGUGUUGGCGGUAUUUACCCCGCCAGUGCCGGAGCUAACGCGUUAAGUGCGACGCCUGGGGAGUACGGCCGCAAGGCUAAAACUCAAAGAAAUUGACGGGGGCCCGCACAAGCGGAGGAGCAUGUGGCUUAAUUCGAUCAAUGCGAAGAACCUUACCAGGGCUUGACAUGCAGCUGCUUCCCUCCUGAAAGGGAGGGGUCCUUCGAGGGUGCUGCACAGGUGCUGCAUGGCUGUCGUCAGUUCGUGCCGUGAGGUGUUGGGUUAAGUCCCGCAACGAACGCAACCCCUGUGUUUAGUUGCCACCGGCGGUGAUGAGCCGUCGAGCACUCUAAACAGACUGCCCGUACAAGCGGGAGGAAGGU